CACACCGGUUCUUGUACAAUCACCGAAGUUAAGCAACGUUGAGCCUGGUCAGUACCUAAAUGGAUGAUCACUUGGGAAUACCAGAUACUGUAAG